rnacentral:rRNA from 1 species
UGGGGAAUAUUGCACAAUGGGCGCAAGCCUGAUGCAGCCAUGCCGCGUGUGUGAAGAAGGCCUUCGGGUUGUAAAGCACUUUCAGCGGGGAGGAAGGCGGUGAGGUUAAUAACCUCAUCGAUUGACGUUACCCGCAGAAGAAGCACCGGCUAACUCCGUGCCAGCAGCCGCGGUAAUACGGAGGGUGCAAGCGUUAAUCGGAAUUACUGGGCGUAAAGCGCACGCAGGCGGUCUGUCAAGUCGGAUGUGAAAUCCCCGGGCUCAACCUGGGAACUGCAUUCGAGACUGGCAGGCUAGAGUCUUGUAGAGGGGGGUAGAAUUCCAGGUGGAGCGGUGAAAUGCGUAGAGAUCUGGAGGAAUACCGGUGGCGAAGGCGGCCCCCUGGACAAAGACUGACGCUCAGGUGCGAAAGCGUGGGGAGCAAACAGG